rnacentral:lncRNA from 1 species
AGCACCUGCGGCAUAUGGAAGUUUCCAGGCUAGGGGUCAAAUUGGAGCUGUAACUGUCGGCCUUUACCACAGCCACGGCAACGUGGGGUCUGGGCUGCAUCUACAACCUACACCACAGCUCACAUCAACGCUGGCCCCUUAACCCGCUGCGAGGCCAGGGAUAGAACCUGCAUCCUCACGGAUACUCGUGGGGCUCGUUUCUGCUAAGCCACAGUGGGAACGCCUCUUAUGCGUGACUUUUGGCCAAAGGGACCGGCUCUACCAAAAACAGGGACUGAAGCAUACCCAGGUGACUAUCUGGCUCACCUGAUUCUCUUCCCAGUGGGGCUUUGAAACAUGGGGACAAACUUUAGACACAGAGAAUGGAGCCAUUGCCUCUGUCGGGAUGGGAGAAAUUCACAGAUGUCUUGACAGCAGCUACCUCGCGACACUGAGUGGUAGCGGACCACUGGAAAAACUCUGGGUAAGAAAGACUAUCAAAGGAGCAUCAGGUCCAGAUUGCAAAUUGCUUUAGCAGCUAAAACAGGCAGAAAGAUAGAGCAACUCACGCUAAUCCAGGGGGUUUAUGCUUCGGGCUGGCUGCCUCUGACGCCCACCCUUGACCCAGCCCAUUCAUCAGUAUUUUGAUAAGCAGAUUCCCCUGCAGAGCUUCUUAAUCUGGGUUCCCAGAGGAGUCUUGCAGAGAUUAAUGAGAGCCCUGCCGCUGCCUGCCAGCUCUUGAGGGUGGGGCAGUUAAAUCACAAAAGGGAAGGGACUGGUCGCGGAUGCCCAAACUCUCCCAUCACUGGACCUGACGCCUCUAGGGGUCAACUCAGUAUCUUUUCAACUUAAAUACCUGGAUCUGUUUUUAUUUUUAUUUUUAAUCCACUUUCUCCUUGGUAUCUAGGGAAAUUAAAGCCCUGGCUCACAUCUUCCUUAAGGCCAGCUUUUAGCCAGAGCCAUGACAGCAUCUGGAGCUCAACAAAGAUUAGGGGCAGAGGCAGGCAGGAAUGCCAGGGACAGAGAGGAAAUCCAGUGCUACCAAGGGCACCACCAAUGUGCUGUACCCGCCAUGCAGCCCUCCCACCAAAUACCCUCUGGCUACAGUCCCCUGACAGUGGUGGGAGGGGAAGCUGGGGCUGCAACCCCAAAGCCUGAGCCCUCACAGAAGUGCAGCCCCUAAGACAAAAAAAAAAAAAAAAAGGGAGUUCCCAUCGUGGUGCAGUGGUUAACGAAUCCGACUAGGAACCGUGAGGUUGCGGGUUUGGUCCUUGCCCUUGCUCAGUGGGUUAACGAUCCGGCGUUGCCAUGAGCUGUGGUGUAGGUUGCAGACGCGGCUCAGAUCCCGCGCUGCUGUGGCUCUGGCGUAGGCCGGUGGCUACAGCUCCGAUUCCACCCCUAGCCUGGGAACUUCCAUAUGCCACGGGAGUGGCCCAAGAAAUAGCAAAAAAAGACAAAAAAAAAAAAAGAAGGCUGGUCUCUGCUCUUGCAAUGCCAGAUCCUCAACCCACAGUGCCAAGCCAGGGGUGGAACCCGCAUCUCAGCAUUCCCAAGAGGCUGCCGAUCCCACUGCACCACAGCGGGAACUCUGCAGGCUGGGUUCCCUGUGAGACGUGAUCUGGGGAAAUUUUCUGGGCUGUCCUCUGGAGAGAUGGGACUUAUUUUGAAGUAAGAUGUGAUGAGGGAACCCUAGAUUUGAGUUCAGUUUGUGAAUUAUUGGGGCGGGGGGGGGGGUAAAAUCAGGCUUACCGAGCUUGUAGGACCUUGCAUGUGCUGGAAGAAAAAGUCUUACAAAUUCCAAGUGACAGGUAUGGCAAGAAGGAGGAGGACGAGCCGGGACAGCAGCUUCAACUCUGGCUGCUCCCGUGCUGACAUGUGUCCACUGAACGCAGCCUCAGGACUUGGGGGAAAAAGACCGUCACGCGGAGCUCCGAGCUCACGAGCAGGUCUAAAGGGACCGGCAAGUCAACUAACAAAGGCGUCGGGGGUGGGAACCCCCCUGGGUCUUCCCUCGCCCCUCCUGUGACCACGGCUGGCAUCUCAGGCCCGCUGUCCGUGAACAGACAGGGAAAUAGCUAACUACCCAGCUGAGUCCACGUUCAGCCCCAGAGGAAGGUCGACGGCUGACUGUCUAGGAGUCUGCGGUCUCACUGACACCAGCAGCUCUCAGAGUGUGGAGCACAGCUGCCCUCCGUCUAUGGCUGUGGACUGGGGGGGGGGACAAACAUGUGCUGGGAGGGGGGCCGUCCCAGCCCCUCCGGCCAGGCUCCUCAGAGGCUGGCGCAUCACCCAGCCCCCAGGUGGGGGCAUCAUGGAGGAGACCACGGCUGCCCCUGCAUCAGCUGUCCUGGUUCAGCAGACCUUCCUUCUUUAGCCAGACCUGGAAGCCAAAGAGGUCAGGCCAACCUGCAGCUCGGGGUCCAGCCCAGACGGGCGGCUACCUGGCCAGCCUCCUGGCCUCUGUAUGCGGCGCAGCCUGCUCUGGAUGGUAGGCUCCCUGCCCAGGAUUUGCAGUGAACUUGGCUGCUCCCUGCGGGAUUUACUGGGUCUGGACCUGCCCGCGGUAGAAGGUCAAGUGUCAGUUCAACGAGGGAGCCCCUGUCCCCCUUCGUCUU